AGCAGAGUCACGGCAAAUCGGAGUGAUACUCGCUCUGGGCCACAGAGGGAAGUGGGUCACCGGAGACGAUUAGAACUGCAAGCUUUGUCUUCGAGAGGUGCUCCCAGGGUACCGGUCUGUGCGGGGCCUUGUGCUGAGCCCGGGAGCAUUAAUGAGUAUGCAGCCCUGCCCAGAGUGAGUUGCUAUUCUGGCCCUGAGCCUGAGUAUCCUGACCGUUACCCAUCAUCACCCAGUGGGAUCGAUGCUGAGCAGUCUCAUGGGAACCCUAAGGAGCGAGCCGAGCCCCAGGGCCACCCCAGAGGUGAUGGGAGAAGAAAGGAGAUGGCAUCGCUUCGGAGGGGAAACUUCCUGAUUUGUCCUGGUGUCAUGAAAUCAUUUUAUUGACUAUAAUUUUCAACAUUCA